AUUGCACAAUGGAGGGAACCCUGACGCAGCAACGCCGCGUGAGUGAAGAAGGUUCUCGGAUCGUAAAGCUCUGUUGUAAGGGAAGAACAAGUAUCGGAGUCACUGCCGGUACCUUGACGGUACCUGACGAGAAAGCCACGGCUAACUACGUGCCAGCAGCCGCGGUAAUACGUAGGGGGCGAGCGUUGUCCGGAAUUACUGGGCGUAAAGGGUACGUAGGCGGCUAUAUAAGUCAGGUGUGAAAUACCAGUGCUUAACACUGGAAUUGCAUUUGAAACUGUGUAGCUUGAGUGCAGGAGAGGAAAGUGGAAUUCCUAGUGUAGCGGUGAAAUGCGUAGAGAUUAGGAGGAACACCAGUGGCGAAGGCGACUUUCUGGACUGUAACUGACGCUGAGGUACGAAAGCGUGGGUAGCGAACA
rnacentral:rRNA from 1 species